UUCGGGAAAUUGAAAAAUUUUCGGAAAAUUACCCUCCUCCGAUCCGCCGCGGAGCGAUGCGAAUCUUUUACACUAUCGAAGAUCGGAAAACUGUACAGACCGAAUUUUGAUACGACUUUUUGUUUUCGAGAUUCCGGACUUGUAAAAUUUUUUUCGAUAGACCGUAUCUUACAGUAUGGGCCUGGUAUUGGAGACUGGAGAGUAGGGUCUGGUGCUAGUAAAACCCACGCGUUUCGUAAAACCCACGGGUUUAGUAAAACCCACGGGUUCAGUAAAACCCACGCGUUUAGUAGAACCCACGGGUUCAGUAAAACCCACGCGUUUAGUAAAACCCACGGGUUUAGUAAAACCCACACGUUUCGUAAAACCCACGGGUUCAGUAAAACCCACGGGUUUAGUAAAACCCACGCGUUUCGUAAAACCCACACGUUUAGUAAUACCCACGCGUUUAGUAAAACCCACGGGUUUAGUAAAACCCACGGGUUCAGUAAAACCCACGCGUUUAGUAAAACCCACGGUUCAGUAAAACCCACGCGUUUAGUAAAACCCACGGGUUCAGUAAAACCCACGCGUUUAGUAAAACCCACGGGUUCAGUAAAACCACGGGUUCAGUAAAACCCACGCGUUUCGUAAAACCCACGCGUUUCGUAAAACCCACGAGUUCAGUAAAACCCACGGGUUCAGUAAAACCCACGCGUUUAGUAAAACCCACGCGUUCAGAAAACGUGAUGUGUAUCGGAACCUUAUGUUUGGGACGGGCAACUGGGAUUGGAUAUUGCAAUGUUCAGUUUGAUGAAUCAAAAAUUUUUUUUUUUUUUUUUUUUAUGGAAAUAUACUGCUACAGUUUAAAAAAAAAAAACGUCCGCAUUUUUUUUUAUACAAAAUCCUUACUGUCGAUCCAACUAUUGUGACUCGCGUCAAGACCCAACCAUUUGACAAAGACCUGGUUUUUCUUGCGACGCAGAAUUUUCUCCACCAGGAACGUAUCCUUAUAGUUGGUCGGUUGGAGUUCUUCGCGGUAGAAUUUUCCUUUGAUGAUCGUAUCGUGCGCGUCUUUCAGAUCGUACGUGAUCGGAACGGUCGGAUUGACGCUGACAAUCUUGAAAAUUUCCGUGCUCCAGUUAGGUGUGUAUCCUUUCUCGAACAUGGCUUUGAGUCUCGAGAUCCGGACGUGAUCACCGACUUUCAGUUUUCGUCUGGCCAGACGUCUCUUCUCGGUUUUACUCAGCGGCGGCCCGCGAAGCUUUUGCAGGAUCAUCGGUACAUCCUUUUCGGUGACAUCAAUUGGUUUCAUCCCGAUGGUGCGAUGAACGCUCCCGUUAUAUUCACGGAUGAGUUUCGAUAAUAGAUCUACCCACUUGUACGAUCCUUGCGCGCUGAACUCUUUCCACAUCUUCGUUUUUAACGUUCGGUUGAAUCGCUCGACAAUAGAGGCUUUGGUUGUCGAGUACGAGCUGUACAUAUUGAUCUUGUGACGCUUCAUCAAAGCUUGACAUUUGGAGUUGUAGAAUUCCGAGCCCAUAUCGACUUGUAAAUGUUUCGGUGACUUUCCGGCUGCUGUGAGAACGCGUUGCAGAGCAAAAGUGACAUCCGUGGCCGUUUUCGAUUUGAGCGGUUCGGCCCACGCCUUUUUCGAGCACGCGUCGAUGACGGUGAGGAGAUAUCUGUAUCCUUUGUUGACCGAGGCGUACGGUUGCAUCUCGACGAGAUCGGCUUGCCAUAAAUCGAACAAUCCGAGAAUGCGUACUUUACGACGCGGAUAGUUUCGUCGUGCAGGUUUAUGUAGCUCCUCGACGAUCCCACGUUUCUCUGCCGACAUGAUAAUUACCGUCGACGUCGUCGUCGUCGUCCACUCUCUCGAUUCAAAUGCUGUUUCGAUGCUACUAUUUUAACCAGACGAUUGUAAGAUUGCUGAAGUUGGUGGAUACGGUCCAGACAGUGUUCAGCUAAUUUCAUGGCUUC
rnacentral:lncRNA from 1 species